AGCGAACGCUGGCGGCGUGCCUAACACAUGCAAGUCGAACGCGAAAGGGAGCACUCCCUAGUAACGUGGCGUACGGGUGAGUAACAUGUAGGUAAUCUACCCCAGAAUCUGGAAUAACCGGCCGAAAGGCUGGCUAAUACUGGAUAGAGCGACGGAAUCCGUAAUUGGGUUUUUCGGGAAAGGGAGCCUGUAAAAAGGCCUUCGUUCUGGGAUGAGCCUGCGUCCCAUCAGCUAGUUGGUGAGGUAAAAGCUUACCAAGGCAAUGACGGGUAGCUGGUCUGAGAGGACGAGCAGCCACACUGGAACUGAAACACGGUCCAGACUCCUACGGGAGGCAGCAGUGGGGAAUCUUGCGCAAUGGACGAAAGUCUGACGCAGCAACGCCGCGUGAGUGAAGAAGGCCUUCGGGUUGUAAAGCUCUGUCGAGUGGGACGAAAAUGCUUGGAGUUCACAGCUCCAGGAACUGACGGUACCACUAAAGGAAGCACCGGCUAACUCCGUG
rnacentral:rRNA from 1 species